rnacentral:snRNA from 1 species
GUACUUACCUGGCAGGGGAGAUACCAUGAUCACGAAGGUGGUUUUCCCAGGGCAAGGCUUCUCCAUUGCACUCCGGAUGUGCUGACCCCUGCGAUUUCCCCAAAUGUGGGAAACUCGACUGCAUAAUUUGUGGUAGUGGGGGAGUGCGUUCGCGCUCUCCCCUU